rfam:Anaerolinea thermophila TNI-1 DNA, complete genome.
GGGGAUGAUCGGCUUCGACGGAAGAGGCUGGUCCCGGACUGCGAGCCGAGAGGUACCGAACUCGUAAAAUCAGUACACAAAAAAGUGCCAAUCGCACUUACUCCGCCCUCCCGCUGGCUGCCUAAUUCAGUCAGCGAUGGCAAUUCACCCUACGGGGUGACGUCUACCAACCCCGCUCCCUGGCCGGAGGUUGAGUAGGCGUGAGAAAGUCAGGGUGCCGUUCAGGAAGGUCGCGGACUGAACGAAAGAGGGCUUUCGGGCCUUAGCGACUGGUCGAGCACCUUUCCUGCUGAUCCUGAGGUCUCGACGAGAUAGAGGACCAGCUACGCUCGUAGAUGUCCGAGGGUCGAAUCUUUCGGACGCGGGUUCAAUUCCCGCCAUCUCCACUG